CUCACCCUCUGGCCGCCUCCUCCCGCUGGUGACUGAGGCGGACUUGAGACACGUAGCCUGGGAGCCCGUGGCCCCGAAAUCUUCGGGUUUGGGGAGAGGGUCCAUGGCACCCCUCGGAUUCCAGGCUCUAUGACAAUCUGCUGUUUAUGGAGGCACAGAUUUCUUUCCAAGAGGACGAACCUGCCCCUGGAGAGUGGAGUGUCGGACUUCAAACCUGGACAGUCUGAGUGCACGGAUCCUUGGCCGCUAGGCUGCACUGCGUUUGAGUGCAAACCUGCAGGAAUUCCAGACUUCUCAGAUCACAGAGAAGUACGCGAUGCCCUGCAAACAACAGCUCAUGCAUCGGGGCCAGUUCAAGAAGCUACCGUAAGAUGAAGUCUAGGAAUGCUUUCUAUAUCGGCCCCGGCAGGCCCAGACGUCUUGGUGGAGGCGUUGGUGAGAAAUGACCUUGGGGACAGAAGCACAUAUGUGAAGCUCUCUACACUUGAAGCCAGUAGGGAACACAUGUCAUUAUUUUGUCCACCUUCAAACAGAAUUGGAAAUCCAAGUGGCAAAU
rnacentral:lncRNA from 1 species